AUGCUGGGACCCAUAUCUCUGCGGUUCGCUUGGACUUUUCCUUCUUCAUCUCCUCAUGGUCACAGGAUGGCUGCCACAGCGCCAGGAUCAAGUUACGUUAAAGAGAGUCAGAGGAGGGGGCACACCUGCAGACUUCUACUUCAGUCUUAUUGCUGGAAUGGUGCCACCAGGCCACCUUUAGCUGCCUUGGCAGGGAAGGAUGGAGCAGUGGACCCUGGGAAAGGCUUCAAGGUGGAGGCAAGGCUGAGUCAUCGUCUGAGUCUAAGGAAGAAAGAAGUCAUCGGUCCAAGAAAGGAAGACCAUGGGGCCAGAGGACCUGUGGAGCACAGGCUGUGGGAUGCACUGUUGGAGCAAUGGGCACCCUGUGUGGGUGCACACAGGGGCAGUGAAUGGCCGAAGAUGUGGUAAGAUGUAGGGGGCAAGCCAUCAUGCUACCUGGAGAUCCAAAAUGCCAGUGACAAUGCGUGUUGAGGAUGGGUCCAGGUGAACGACCCUAUAAGGCAAACGAUCCCAGGAGGAUUAUCCGCAGGAGCUCUGAUCCGCCGGGCACGUGGUCAGUGCCAGACAGCAGGCUGGACACGUGUGGGUCGCUUCUUUCUCAUAACACUGAGAGUAGGUGUGUUUACCUCUGUUCUACAGAGG
rnacentral:lncRNA from 1 species